AUGAACGCUAGCUACAGGCUUAACACAUGCGAGUCGAGGGGCAGCAUGGUCUUAGCUUGCUAAGACUGAUGGCGACCGGCGCACGGGUGAGUAACACGUAUCCAACCUGCCGUCUACUCUUGGACAGCCUUCUGAAAGGAAGAUUAAUACAAGAUGGCAUCAUGAGUCCGCAUGUUCACAUGAUUAAAGGUAUUCCGGUAGACGAUGGGGAUGCGUUCCAUUAGAUAGUAGGCGGGGUAACGGCCCACCUAGUCUUCGAUGGAUAGGGGUUCUGAGAGGAAGGUCCCCCACAUUGGAACUGAGACGCGGUCCAAACUCCUACGGGAGGCAGCAGUGAGGAAUAUUGGUCAAUGGGCGAGAGCCUGAACCAGCCAAGUAGCGUGAAGGAUGACUGCCCUAUGGGUUGUAAACUUCUUUUAUAAAGGAAUAAAGUCGGGUAUGGAUACCCGUUUGCAUGUACUUUAUGAAUAAGGAUCGGCUAACUCCGUGCCAGCAGCCGCGGUAAUACGGAGGAUCCGAGCGUUAUCCGGAUUUAUUGGGUUUAAAGGGAGCGUAGAUGGAUGUUUAAGUCAGUUGUGAAAGUUUGCGGCUCAACCGUAAAAUUGCAGUUGAUACUGGAUAUCUUGAGUGCAGUUGAGGCAGGCGGAAUUCGUGGUGUAGCGGUGAAAUGCUUAGAUAUCACGAAGAACUCCGAUUGCGAAGGCAGCCUGCUAAGCUGCAACUGACAUUGAGGCUCGAAAGUGUGGGUAUCAAACAGGAUUAGAUACCCUGGUAGUCCACACGGUAAACGAUGAAUACUCGCUGUUUGCGAUAUACUGCAAGCGGCCAAGCGAAAGCAUUAAGUAUUCCACCUGGGGAGUACGCCGGCAACGGUGAAACUCAAAGGAAUUGACGGGGGCCCGCACAAGCGGAGGAACAUGUGGUUUAAUUCGAUGAUACGCGAGGAACCUUACCCGGGCUUAAAUUGCAGAUGAAUUACGGUGAAAGCCGUAAGCCGCAAGGCAUCUGUGAAGGUGCUGCAUGGUUGUCGUCAGCUCGUGCCGUGAGGUGUCGGCUUAAGUGCCAUAACGAGCGCAACCCUUGUUGUCAGUUACUAACAGGUUCCGCUGAGGACUCUGACAAGACUGCCAUCGUAAGAUGUGAGGAAGGUGGGGAUGACGUCAAAUCAGCACGGCCCUUACGUCCGGGGCUACACACGUGUUACAAUGGGGGGUACAGAGGGCCGCUACCACGCGAGUGGAUGCCAAUCCCCAAAACCUCUCUCAGUUCGGACUGGAGUCUGCAACCCGACUCCACGAAGCUGGAUUCGCUAGUAAUCGCGCAUCAGCCACGGCGCGGUGAAUACGUUCCCGGGCCUUGUACACACCGCCCGUCAAGCCAUGGGAGCCGGGGGUACCUGAAGUGCGUAACCGCGAGGAGCGCCCUAGGGUAAAACUGGUGACUGGGGCU
rnacentral:rRNA from 1 species